ensembl:snRNA U6 U6 spliceosomal RNA
UGCUCACUUCGGCAACAGUAUACUAAAAUUGGAACGAUACAGAGAAGAUUAGCAUGGCCCCUGCACAAGGAUGACAUGCUUUUAAAAUUUUUUUUU